AGAUGUGAGGGAGAUCUGUUUGCAACAUCUGUCAUCCCAUUGAUCGCCAGGGUUGAUAUGGCUGGUUAGGCAAACGUUGCCUUCCUCACUAUUUCAUGGGCAUCCCUCCUGAAGCUGAUCUCUUGGUCUAAGAGAAUGACCACCCUGCAAGAGGAGGAAUGUUCUUCAGUCAAGGAUAUGCAAGCAGCUGUGCUCCCCUGCUAGAACCUCCAAACAAGCUCUCAAGAAUCAUUGUCUUACCCAACUCUAGAAAGUUCCACCACUGUUCUCACUAUUCUAGACAAUUAUUCUCU
rnacentral:snRNA from 1 species